rnacentral:rRNA from 1 species
AACGAACGCUGGCGGCAUGCCUAACACAUGCAAGUCGAACGAAGGCUUCGGCCUUAGUGGCGCACGGGUGCGUAACGCGUGGGAAUCUGCCCUUUGGUUCGGAAUAACAGCUGGAAACGGCUGCUAAUACCGGAUGAUGACGAAAGUCCAAAGAUUUAUCGCCAAAGGAUGAGCCCGCGUUGGAUUAGGUAGUUGGUGGGGUAAAGGCCUACCAAGCCGACGAUCCAUAGCUGGUCUGAGAGGAUGAUCAGCCACACUGGGACUGAGACACGGCCCAGACUCCUACGGGAGGCAGCAGUGGGGAAUAUUGGACAAUGGGCGCAAGCCUGAUCCAGCAAUGCCGCGUGAGUGAUGAAGGCCCUAGGGUUGUAAAGCUCUUUUACCCGGGAAGAUAAUGACUGUACCGGGAGAAUAAGCCCCGGCUAACUCCGUG